GGCGGCCUGUGCGCGGCGCAGGGCCCGGGCCACCCCGGGCCCAGCGGCACCGCCUGGGAAGCGCUCGGCCCCCGGACUGGAGCCAGCGGAGCAGGAGCGCGCCCUGAGCGGCCGGGCGACGGCUGGGCGGGGUGCUCGGCCGCAGGAGAGCCCCUGGGCCCGCCUGGGUGCGGGGCCUCUGGGGAGCAGGGGCUCGCCACCGCCCUCCCGUUCUGUUCGCCCAGCGGCAGCUCCAUGGGGGGAGUUGAGCAAUAUUUCGGGUUGCCAGUUUUGGUUGGAUCUGUUCUAGGAGGUGUUUUCACAUGAGAAAUAUUCCAGAAGACUUCAGGCGGAGGGGAAACUUCAGCCCAAAGGGUUACAUUUUGAUUAUUUCAGUUGGGUUCUCCCUACACCUCCAUGCAAAACAUAACAUGGAACUCUGAUAGCAAAAGCUAAAAAAUUGAUUGUGCAGAAAAGAGAAAUGCACAGUCCAACUCUGCAAAAAGUGUGUGACUGAAAUUUGAGAAAGUGGGAACGGUUAAAAAAAAAAACAACCUCAUUUCUGCAUCACCAAAACAAAAUGAAGUGUUCCCAUUUAAAUAUUUGAUGUAUCUAUCGAAAAAGAAUACCUAAUUAUAUCUAUAACCUUUAUCCUCCUUCACCUUUCUGCUGCAUGUUAGAUUAAUGUAAAGUCCAGCAUUUGGACUGUAAACUUUUUGGGGGUAGAAAGCUGUCUUCUGUGUGCUUCCCACUUAACCCAUCUGUGGACACUAUGAAAUAUCAUCUCCACAGCUGUAGGGAGGAGAAGAAAGAGGUGAGAAUGGGGAAGGCUGAAGUUUAAUGGGUUGAUGAAGGGAAUAGAUUUUUGAUAUAUCGCGAAAGGGUAGCAUUCACUGAAAACAUUUGGUAUAUACAUCUACAGAUUAUUUAAUUUCAAAAGAGGAUUUUGCAACAAAAAAAGAACAUAGUCAGCUAAUAGCUGUUGGAACUCCCUUCUCUUCACUGAAAGCAUUUAUGUUUUGAAAGCAAAGGUAUGCCAAUGCCUGAUCAGCACAUGUAAAUUCUAGAAGGGGAGGGAGCCAGUAGCCUGCCAAAAGACUGAGAAAGAGGCUUUGAGAUGCAAUCUAGAAGCAUUUUCACAUUAAAAUAAAUGACAAGAUCACAUUUCCAAGUGAAAUCCUGGUCACAGUGAUGUUAGUGGGUGUAAACAACUUGAGGUGGGAUUGAUGUAGGGUUAACUUUGCUACUGCCCUUUUGACACAGUUAAAAUAUUAAAUGAAACACCAUAGUUAGUGUUACUAAGUCAUGUUGUUUUACAUGAACCAAAAAGUUUAUCCUAAAAUAUGUUUUUAAUGCCAUAAGUUAUACACAUAGCAAGCAUAUCAAGUUUAGGCAAUGGGCAUGUGUUCAGCUGUAAAUGUGCAUAUUGAUUAGUCAACAGGUUCAUAAUUGCAAUGGAAUAAAACUGAUUUGAAACCAU